rnacentral:rRNA from 1 species
GACGAACGCUGGCGGCGUGCUUAACACAUGCAAGUCGAGCGGAAAGGCCCUUCGGGGUACUCGAGCGGCGAACGGGUGAGUAACACGUGAGUAACCUGCCCUCAGCUUCGGGAUAAGCCUGGGAAACUGGGUCUAAUACCGGAUACGACCAUUGGAUGCAUGUCUGGUGGUGGAAAGUUUUUCGGCUGGGGAUGGGCUCGCGGUCUAUCAGCUUGUUGGUGGGGUGAUGGCCACCAAGGCGACGACGGGUAGCCGGCCUGAGAGGGUGACCGGCCACACUGGGACUGAGACACGGCCCAGACUCCUACGGGAGGCAGCAGUGGGGAAUAUUGCGCAA